rnacentral:lncRNA from 1 species
GCUAAGUUCUGGCAGUGGUACAGCUUCAGGACUCCGUGAGGCAAGGCCAGGCUGCCCAGUGCUACAUGCACCCGGUUCUAGCAGCAGUGCUGGUGGUGGCUCAUGGAAGACAUGCUUGAGGAAGGGAGCGAGAAGUGUGAGGAACAGUGCUGGGAAUUCCCUGGUCCAGGGAGCCUGCUUUGGCAGGGGGGUCGGACUAGAUGAUCUCUGUUACCAAACUCCGGUGACCCUUUUCGUAUUACCCUUGCACGCAGAGAACCAAUACCCGGUUCUGACCAGCUGCUGCACAAAGCACAUCAAUAUGAUGAGCAGCAAAAUGGCGUUUAUUGGUAAAAGCUACAGAACUAUAUAGUAUUUCUUAUCUUUUUACUAGACUGUUCCAGAAGUUCAUGCGGCCUUCUGGCCAAUCAUAUUGAAUAUCCCGCUUCUGACCUCUUACUUCCGAAAGGCCAUAUACGGAGUAGUUAUACACCUUACUAUGAAAACAAAGAAGGACAGCCUCUCCUGUAGGCCAACCAAUAGGAAGCGAAUGGGGAAGGGCCUUCCGCGUUACAGCCCGAGUGCUCCAUAACACGCCUAAUACAACAGAUCUCUAGAGGUCCCUUCUAGCCCCUAAAAUUCUGUGGUUCUGUGAACAGCUAGAGCAGAGAAGGAGGAGAGGCACUCACCACACAGGGAAUCCCCUGUGGCCCAUGGAGAAGCAGGCAGUGUCUCCUGACAGAAGCUGCAGUCUCUGGAGGGCCCACACUAGGAGCAGGGAAAUGUGCAAUGAGGAAGAGUGGGUGGAAGGAAGGGAGAGCAGGGUCUUUUUGUUUGUCUCUCUCACCAUCCAACUCUAUAUUAAUUGGCAAUAAAUGAAUUUUUGACAUUAACUGGUAAAUAAAUGACCACUUUGUCCUUAUCUCCAGCUAUGAGCUUUUUCUUACUUUCCUCCCAGCUGGGAGUGUGGCUGGGUGGGUGCCUGGCUGCCACCAAGGUCACCAGCCCUCAGCUCAGCAGCCCACUUAGAAUAAGGGGAGCAGUGGAUGACAAAAAGCACUCAACACCAGGCUGCUACUGUUCCUACAUGCUUGCUAUUCCUGCAAACAGCCUAUUGAAGAAUGAUAAGAAAUUCUUUUUCAUCCUUGCAGCUCUUGUUACAAUGGGCUGGAGGAGAUGUUAUGUCAGAUGUCUUUGA